rnacentral:misc_RNA from 1 species
GAUGAAGAACGUAGCGAAAUGCGAUAAGUAAUGCGAAUUGCAGAAUCCGUGAGACAUCGAAUCUUUGAACGCACAUUGCGCCCUCUGGUAUUCCGGAGGGCAUGCCUGUUCGAGCGUCAUUAUCACCCCUCAAGCCCGGCUUGUUGUUGGAUGCAGCGCUUAUCCCGCUCCUCCCAAAGAUAAUGACGGCGUCUGCGACGACUCCUGUACACUGAGCUUUCGGGCACGUACACGGCUAGAAGUCCAGACCCGGUCGCCGUCCCCCCCGCGGGGACACCCAUUACCACAAGGUUGACCUCGGAUCAGGUAGGAAUACCCGCUGAACUUAAGCAUAUCAAUAAGCGGAGGA